rnacentral:rRNA from 1 species
GAUGAACGCUGGCGGCGUGCCUAAUACAUGCAAGUCGAGCGAACAGACGAGGAGCUUGCUCCUCUGACGUUAGCGGCGGACGGGAGAGUAACACGUGGAUAACCUACCUAUAAGACUGGGAUAACUUCGGGAAACCGGAGCUAAUACCGGAUAAUAUAUUGAACCGCAUGGUUCAAUAGUGAAAGACGGUUUUGCUGUCACUUAUAGAUGGAUCCGCGCCGCAUUAGCUAGUUGGUAAGGUAACGGCUUACCAAGGCAACGAUGCGUAGCCGACCUGAGAGAGUGGUCGGCCACCCUGGGAGUGAGACACGGACCAGGCUCCUACGGGAGGCAGCAGUAGGGAAUCGUCCGCAAUGGGCGAAAGCUUGACGGAGCAACGCGGCGUGAGUGAUGAAGAUCUUCGGAUCGUAAAACUCUGUUAUUAGGGAAGAACAAAUGUGUAAGUAACUAUGCACGUCUUGACGGUACCUAAUCAGAAAGCCACGGCUAACUACGUG